CACGUAGGGCGCAAGCGUUGUCCGGAAUUAUUGGGCGUAAAGAGCUCGUAGGCGGUCUGUUACGUCUGCUGUGAAAACCCUGGGCUUAACCCUGGGCUUGCAGUGGAUACGGGCAGACUAGAGGCAGGUAGGGGAGAAUGGAAUUCCCGGUGUAGCGGUGAAAUGCGCAGAUAUCGGGAGGAACACCGGUGGCGAAGGCGGCGUGCUGGACCUCUUCUGACGCUGAGGCGCGAAAGCCAGGGGAGCAAACGGG
rnacentral:rRNA from 1 species